UACGUAGGGGGCAAGCGUUGUCCGGAUUUAUUGGGCGUAAAGAGCGUGUAGGCGGCCAAACAGGUCAGCUGUGAAAACUCGAGGCUCAACCUCGAGACGUCGGUUGAAACCGUUUGGCUAGAGUCCGGAAGAGGAGAGUGGAAUUCCCGGUGUAGCGGUGAAAUGCGCAGAUAUCAGGAGGAACACCAAUUGCGAAGGCAGCUCGCUGGGACGUUACUGACGCUGAGACGCGAAAGCGUGGGGAGCAAACAGG
rnacentral:rRNA from 1 species